CGUUAAAACACCGGUUCCCGUACGAUAACCGAAGUUAAGCAAUGCCGAGUUUGGUCAGUACUUAGAUGGGUGACCGCUUGGGAAUACCACGUGCUGUG